AGGUUUUUGUGGGGUCCUGAAGAAUGGCUUCUCUGUUUACAACACAACCAAGAAGAAUCUGGGACCAUUGUAAUGAGGGGCAUAAGCAGUUUCCUCUCUGU